AGUGAACGCUGGCGGUAGGCCUAACACAUGCAAGUCGAACGGCCGCACAAUAAGCGUUUGCUCUUAAGGGUGGCGGGUGGCGGGCGGGUGAGGCGUACAUCGGCAUCCUAUUUUACGUGGAGGAUUUCGUAGGGACGCUUCCGAUACUACCUCAUAUAAUCAACGGGUGAAAGCAGUGGAUCAUCACACCUUUCCUGUCUCAAUGAGCCGAUGUCGGAUUAGCUAGUUGGCGGGGUAAAGGCCCACCAAGGCAACGCAACGUAGCCGGGCUGAGAGGAUGAUCAGCCACACUGGAACUGAGACACGGUCCAGACUCCUACGGGAGGCAGCAGUAGGGAAUAUUGGACAAUGGGCGCAAGCCUGAUCGAGCCAUGCCGCGUGAGUGAAGAAGGCCUUCGGGUUGUAAAGCCCUUUUAUUGGGAAAGAAAAGCAGCAGGUGUAUACCCGGCUGUUCUGACGGUACCCAAAGAAUAAGCACCGGCUAACUUCGUG
rnacentral:rRNA from 1 species